rnacentral:rRNA from 1 species
CAGCAGGGACGAAGCGUAAGUGACGGUACCUGCAGAAGAAGCGCCGGCCAACUACGUGCCAGCAGCCGCGGUAAGACGUAGGGCGCGAGCGUUGUCCGGAUUUAUUGGGCGUAAAGAGCUCGUAGGCGGCUUGUCGCGUCGUCUGUGAAAUCCCGCGGCUCAACCGCGGGUCUGCAGUCGAUACGGGCAGGCUAGAGUUCGGUAGGGGAGACUGGAAUUCCUGGUGUAGCGGUGAAAUGCGCAGAUAUCAGGAGGAACACCGGUGGCGAAGGCGGGUCUCUGGGCCGAUACUGACGCUGAGGAGCGAAAGCGUGGGGAGCGAACAGGAUUAGAUACCCUGGUAGUCCACGCUGUAAACGUUGGGCGCUAGGUGUGGGGGGCCUCUCCGGUUCUCUGUGCCGCAGCUAACGCAUUAAGCGCCCCGCCUGGGGAGUACGGCCGCAAGGCUAAAACUCAAAGGAAUUGACGGGGGCCCGCACAAGCGGCGGAGCAUGCGGAUUAAUUCGAUGCAACGCGAAGAACCUUACCUGGGUUUGACAUGGCCGCAAAACUGUCAGAGAUGGCAGGUCCUUCGGGGGCGGUCACAGGUGGUGCAUGGCUGUCGUCAGCUCGUGUCGUGA